rnacentral:rRNA from 1 species
ACGCUCGACACCUACGGGGGGCAGCAGUGGGGAAGUAUUGCACAAUGGGGGAAACCCGUGAUGCAGCGACGCCGCGUGAGCGAAGAAGUAUUUCGGUAUGUAAAGCUCUAUCAGCAGGGAAGAAACUGACGGUACCUGACUAAGAAGCACCGGCUAAAUACGUGUCAGCAGCCGCGGUAAUCUGAGCGGCGUGGCAAGGC